UCCACCUCCUGGGUCUGCCACUCCUCCUGUCUGUCUCACUUCACACCUGGACCUAUUCUGCAAUCAUGCUCACCUGGUCUUCAUCUCCAAUCAACUCCCCUUCAUAAACCCUUGGAUUCCCUGCUGUCGGUGCCAGAUCGUACUAGGCACUACUGUGUUAUCCGGAUCCCUCAAUCCAGUUCGCCUGCUUCGCUCCUUCCCCGGCAACCUCAUCCAAUACCCGCCUCCUCGCCUCGUUCAAUAAACCCUUUUUCCUUCAACUCAA